GAUCCCAUGGCAUCCCACUGCAUAUGUCAUGGAAAUUCAAAUAAAAAAUCCCAUUGCAAUAAGAUUUACAAAUCUGGAGCUGGUUAACAAUCCACUUAACAGUGCAGCGUUAAGAGACCAACAAGGAAAAUACAACCUCUGUCUACGUGGCAGUUUAGCAGGUGUGUGAGAUCAUGGUGGGAACAUAGCGAACAAGCUGCACUUUUGUUACUCCUUUCUGCUGAUAGAAUUGUUGCUGCUGCUCAAACUAGCCUCUGUUCUCUUCAUAUCUCCACACAGCUGUGUCCUUGAAAGGAAAAGAACAGGAUGGAUCAAACACUGGACAGUCUCAGAGGCUCUUUUGUCUUUGGCCGUGUGAACAAGUUACUCUGAAACAAGAGAGGGAAAACAAUGGCUUCUUCUUACAUGAGAGAAACAGACAGUGGGAAUGUACAGGUUUAAGGCUUAUACAGUGCAUGUGUAUAACAGAGUUUGUCAUUUUGCCACCAUACAUGUCACACAAACAGCACUAAUCUUCGAUCGCUGUUCCAGUAUCCACUCUAGCACUUAGAAUUAAGCCGUACCUACAGUCAGUGUCCAUUUCACCUUUAUGUCAGCCUUCACCUGCUGGGCAAGUUGUUGUCAUCAAGGCAGUUUUUUUCUAAAACUACGGGUGAAUCGGUACAUGUAUUCGUACUGAACCAUUCGCUACAGGGUCCACGGUGCACGGUUCGGUACGCACUGCCGAACAAUACAUUAAUCAUAUAUUAUAGCUAGGAAUAUAUAUAUUUAAUUGUAAAAAAAAUAUUAUUGCAUAAACCGAUGGCGUAUAAAUUAACGUGGGAAAAAUAUCCACAUAGUAAUAAAGUUGUCUUUAAAAAAAAAAAGUUUUGUCUCGUAGCUGUAUGCGGCUACGCUCAUUAGUUAUUUCACUCCAGCGAGAACAGAGCUGAGAGACCGUCGUCGUAGCAGCAAUUAGUUUAUGAAGAAAUGAGCAGUUAGCUAAAUGCUAAGGAGCAACACAACUAGAAGACGCCACAGGAUCUUUCAGGUCUGCCGUCUGGGAAUAUUUUGGUUUCCCUGUAAACUAUAACAAGGGAUUGGCAACGAGUGGUGGAUAUAACUUCUCCAACAUGUGGGCUCUGUUCAUUGCUGAUAGCCUAUUAGAGUGGUGGAUAAACUCAUCCAACAUGUGGGCUCUGUUCAUUGCUGAUAGCCUAUUAGUGGUGGAUAAACUUCUCCAACAUGUGGGCUCUGUUCAUUGCUGAUAGCCUAUUAGAGUGGUGGAUAAACUUCUCCAACAUGUGGCCUCUGUUCAUUGCUGAUAGCCUAUUAGAGUGGUGGAUAAACUUCUCCAACAUGUGGGCUCUGUUCAUUGCUGAUAGCCUAUUAGAGUGGUGGAUAAACCUCUCCAACAUGUGGCCUCUGUUCAUUGCUGAUAGCCUAUUAGAGUGGUGGAUAUAACUUCUCCAACAUGUGGGCUCUGUUCAUUGCUGAUAGCCUAUUAGAGUGGUGGAUAAACUUCUCCAACAUGUGGCCUCUGUUCAUUGCUGAUAGCCUAUUAGAGUGGUGGAUAAACUUCUCCAACAUGUGGGCUCUGUUCAUUGCUGAUAGCCUAUUAGAGUGGUGGAUAAACUUCUCCAACAUGUGGCCUCUGUUCAUUGCUGAUAGCCUAUUAGAGUGGUGGAUAAACUUCUCCAACAUGUGGGCUCUGUUCAUUGCUGAUAGCCUAUUAGAGUGGUGGAUAAACCUCUCCAACAUGUGGCCUCUGUUCAUUGCUGAUAGCCUAUUAGAGUGGUGGAUAUAACUUCUACAACAUGUGGGCUCUGUUCAUUGCUGAUAGCCUAUUAGAGUGGUGGAUAAACUUCUCCAACAUGUGGGCUCUGUUCAUUGCUGAUAGCCUAUUAGAGUGGUGGAUAAACCUAUCCAACAUGUGGCCUCUGUUCAUUGCUGAUAGCCUAUUAGAGUGGUGGAUAUAACUUCUACAACAUGUGGGCUCUGUUCAUUGCUGAUAGCCUAUUAGAGUGGUGGAUAUAACUUCUACAACAUGUGGGCUCUGUUCAUUGCUGAUAGCCUAUUAGAGUGGUGGAUAAACUCCUCCAACAUGUGGGCUCUGUUCAUUGCUGAUAGCCUAUUAGAGUGUCAAUACGAGUAACAUGACUACUCAUUUGUGCCGACAUCACCCCAAAGUGCCAAUUGGUGGGACUAGGCGAAAAAAAUGAAACGGCAACCACUUCUCCCCACAGCCUUCAGGCAACAAUAUGCGGCUGACUCCGAUAAGGAUAAAUAUACAGUAUCAACGCAGCAGUAGCAAAAUUCCUAGCGGCAGAUAUGAGACCCUUCUCUGUGGUAGAGAAUGCAGAGUUCAGAAACAUAUUUAAAGUGGUCGAGCGUUUCACUAUUCCUUGCCGUACACAUUUCUCCCAGACAUUAUUACCUGCCUUAUACAAAAAAACUAAAGAACUACUUGAGAGCAAGACUUCAGAAAAGCGGUCUGUUGCUCUAACAACAGACAGUUGGACGUCUAGAGCUACAGAGAGCUACCUUACUGUAACGACUCAUUUCAUUACGGCAGAGUGGGAGAUAAAAAGCCAUGUCCUUCAAACACGUCCCCUUGAGAGUCGUCACACCAGUGUAAACUUGGGGGAGGAGCUGAGGAAAGUAGUCGCAGUGUGGAAGUUGGAGAGGGAUGAUGUAACGAUUCCUGUGACCACUGACAACACUAGAAACAUUGUAAAUGCAGUUGCUCUAGCUGGACUGGGCCACAGAUAGGAUGCUUUGCUCACGUUAUUAAUCUAGCAUCUCAAAAAGAAACGUCAGUGAAUCCAAUCUCUCGCUUCCUAGCACAGAUCAGGAAGGUGGUAUCCUUCUUUCAUAAAAGCACAACUGCUGAACAUGUUUUCAAGACACAACAGGAGAUGCUGGUGCUGCCAAACCACAAACUAAUCCAAGAUGUCCCUACUAGAUGGAAUUCAAGCAAUGACAUGGUCGAGAGAUACCUUGAGUAGAAAGUUGCGGUGUAUUCUACACUGACUGAUCAAGCUGUGAGGAAGAAUGUCAAAGAUAUUGUGACCUUGUCUGAAAAUGACAUAAGACUAGCAGAGGAAGUUUUCAAAGUGUGAAAACCUCUCAGAACAGUCACAACACUGAUCUGCACUGAGAGCAUUCCAUCAGUUUCCAUGAUCCUGCCUAUGAAAACAAUGAUCCUGAAUAUUAAUGGUGGCAUCUGAUGAAAAUGAACCCGCAGUAAGGGGUGUCAAGAUUGCUAAUCAGAGUUAACCUGGAGCCUAGAUAUGCUGACCCUGGUGUCCAAGACUUCUUACACAAGAGCACCGCUUUGGAACCCCGGUUCAAGUCUCUGCUGCACCUAGAGGCUUCUGCUCGUCUGAGAGUCUACAACAAUCUCACAGCAGAGAUUGUGACCAAUAUACAACAGGGUCAAGCCACAGAUACAACAGGAGCCAACCCCUCUCCAGAGACGACAGGGGUUCUCCUCCAGAGUUGUUCACCACCCAGGAGCAGGGAACCAAGUCAAAGGUCAAGGUCAUGGAGGAGGAGGUGACCUCAUACAGGGAAGUGGACUGUAUUCUCCUGGAUGCUGAUCCUCUUACAUGGUGGAAGACCAAAUAGUUAAUAUAUCCUCAUGUUGCCAUGUUAGCAAGCCGCUGUGCCUGGGACCUCUGUCCCGAGCGAGAGGGUAUUCUCCACAGCUACCUGGCUGUGCCUGGGACCUCUGUCCCGAGCGAGAGGGUAUUCUCCACAGCUAUCUGGCUGUGCCUGGGACCUCUGUACCGAGCGAGAGGAUAUUCUCCACAGCUAUCUGGCUGUGCCUGGGACCUCUGUCCCGAGCGAGAGGGUAUUCUCCACAGCUACCUGGCUGUGCCUGGGACCUCUGUCCCGAGCGAGAGGGUAUUCUCCACAGCGGCUGACAUUGUCACAGCAACACGAUCUGUGCUCACUGCAGAUCAUGUGGAUAGACUAAUCUUCGUAAAGAAAAACUUGAAAAUCUGAUUUAAAAAAAAUUAUUUGUCACUUUUGUUCAAGUAACCAGUCUCAAGUGGUCCUAUUUUGUUUAAGGCACUGCUAUGUGACUUCAUUUUGAUAUCUGAUGCUGGACUAUGCACUCUUGAUGAAGCUGUUUUAAAUGACUAUUUUAUUUCAUGUUAUAAGGCAGGCACUGUUUUUUGUUGUCCCUUUGUUUCCAUAUGUUCCUGGGAAUUUAAGCAUCCCAUGUUUACUAUUAUAAUAAAUGGAAAAUCUAAAUACAAAAUUA